rnacentral:SRP_RNA from 1 species
UGUCCUUCUCCUUCUCUGGCUCUUUCUCCUUCUUGGCGGACGCUGCCGGGGCCUUCGACGGAAGGGGCGGGGCAUCCGCCAUCGACGGAGGGACAGCUGGAGGCU